UCUCCGUUGGUGAACCAGCGGAGGGAUCAUUACCGAGUUAUCAACUCCCAAACCCCUGUGAACAUACCCAACGUUGCUUCGGCGGGACCGCCCCGGCGCCCUCGGCGUCCCGGAACCAGGCGCCCGCCGGAGGACCCAAACUCUUGUUUAAACCAUAGUGGCAUAUUCUGAGUCUCACAAGAAAAAUGAAUCAAACUUUCAACAACGGAUCUCUUGGCUCUG
rnacentral:misc_RNA from 1 species